rnacentral:rRNA from 1 species
AGGAUGAACGCUGGCGGCGUGCAUAACACAUUCAAGUCGAACGGAGUUUAUGGAAGGAAGUCUUCGGAUGGAAUGAAGUAAACUUAGUGGCGGACGGGUGAGUAACGCGUGAGCAACCUGCCUUGGCAUGGGGGAUAACGUUUGGAAACGAACGUUAAUACCGCAUAAUGUAGCGAGGUCGCAUGGCUUUGCUACCAAAGGAUUUAUUCGCUGAAGGAUGGACUCGCGUACGAUUAGCUGGUUGGCGGGUAACGGCCCACCAAGGCGACGAUCGUUAGGGGUUCUGAGAGGAAGGUCCCCCACACUGGAACUGAGACACGGUCCAGACUCCUACGGGAGGCAGCAGUGAGGAAUAUUGGUCAAUGGGCGCGAGCCUGAACCAGCCAAGUAGCGUGAAGGAUGACUGCCCUACGGGUUGUAAACUUCUUUUGUUUGGGAAUAAAUGAUACUACGUGUAGUAUUUUGCAUGUACCUUACGAAUAAGCAUCGGCUAAUUCCGUG